rnacentral:rRNA from 1 species
GACGAACGCUGGCGGCACGCUUAACACAUGCAAGUCGAACGAGAGAAGAGAAGCUUGCUCUUCUGAUCUAGUGGCGGACGGGUGAGUAACACGUGAGCAAUCUGCCUUUCAGAGGGGGAUACCGAUUGGAAACGAUCGUUAAUACCGCAUAACAUAAUUGAACCGCAUGAUUUGAUUAUCAAAGAUUUAUCGCUGAAAGAUGAGCUCGCGUCUGAUUAGCUAGUUGGUAAGGUAACGGCUUACCAAGGCGACGAUCAGUAGCCGGACUGAGAGGUUGAUCGGCCACAUUGGGACUGAGACACGGCCAGACUCCUACGGGAGGCAGCAGUGGGGAAUAUUGCACAAUGGAGGAAACUCUGAUGCAGCGAUGCCGCGUGAGGGAAGAAGGUUUUAGGAUUGUAAACCUCUGUCUUCAGGGACGAAAAAAGACGGUACCUGAGGAGGAAGCUCCGGCUAACUACGUGCCAGCAGCCGCGGUAAUACGUAGGGAGCGAGCGUUGUCCGGAAUUACUGGGUGUAAAGGGAGCGUAGGCGGGAUCGCAAGUCAGAUGUGAAAACUAUGGGCUUAACCCAUAAACUGCAUUUGAAACUGUGGUUCUUGAGUGAAGUAGAGGUAAGCGGAAUUCCUAGUGUAGCGGUGAAAUGCGUAGAUAUUAGGAGGAACAUCAGUGGCGAAGGCGGCUUACUGGGCUUUAACUGACGCUGAGGCUCGAAAGCGUGGGGAGCAAACAGGAUUAGAUACCCUGGUAGUCCACGCCGUAAACGAUGAUUACUAGGUGUGGGGGGACUGACCCCCUUCCGUGCCGCAGCAAACGCAAUAAGUAAUCCACCUGGGGAGUACGACCGCAAGGUUGAAACUCAAAGGAAUUGACGGGGGCCCGCACAAGCAGUGGAGUAUGUGGAUUAAUUCGAAGCAACGCGAAGAACCUUACCAGGUCUUGACAUCGUAUGCAUAGCUCAGAGAUGAGUGAAAUCUCUUCGGAGACAUAUAGACAGGUGGUGCAUGGUUGUCGUCAGCUCGUGUCGUGAGAUGUUGGGUUAAGUCCCGCAACGAGCGCAACCCUUACUGUUAGUUGCUACGCAAGAGCACUCUAGCAGGACUGCCGUUGACAAAACGGAGGAAGGUGGGGAGGACGUCAAAUCAUCAUGCCCCUUAUGACCUGGGCCUCACACGUACUACAAUGGCUGUCAACAGAGGGAAGCAAAGCCGCGAGGUGGAGCAAACCCCUAAAAGCAGUCUUAGUUCGGAUUGUAGGCUGCAACCCGCCUACAUGAAGUCGGAAUUGCUAGUAAUCGCAGAUCAGCAUGCUGCGGUGAAUAAGUUCCCGGGCCUUGCACA